GACGAACGCUGGCGGCGUGCCUAACACAUGCAAGUCGAGCGCAGGAAAUCGACGGAACCCUUCGGGGGGAAGUCGAUGGAAUGAGCGGCGGACGGGUGAGUAACACGUAAAGAACCUGCCCUCAGGUCUGGGAUAACCACGAGAAAUCGGGGCUAAUACCGGAUGGGUCAUCGGACCGCAUGGUCCGAGGAUGAAAGGCGCUGCGGCGUCGCCUGGGGAUGGCUUUGCGGUGCAUUAGCUAGUUGGUGGGGUAAUGGCCCACCAAGGCGACGAUGCAUAGCCGACCUGAGAGGGUGAUCGGCCACACUGGGACUGAGACACGGCCCAGACUCCUACGGGAGGCAGCAGUAGGGAAUCUUCCACAAUGGACGAAAGUCUGAUGGAGCAACGCCGCGUGAACGAUGAAGGCCUUCGGGUCGUAAAGUUCUGUUGUAAGGGAAGAACAAGUGCCGCAGGCAAUGGCGGCACCUUGACGGUACCUUGCGAGAAAGCCACGGCUAACUACGUGCCAGCCGCCGCCGUAACAC
rnacentral:rRNA from 1 species